GAGUCAGAUGUUUUUAAAACAGCAACAGCAAUAUGCCCUGAAUAGUAGAGAAACAAAAGAGCGAUUGAUCUACAAAGGCAAGACCCAGAUUGAGACCACAGUGAACCCUGCAAAACAGAGGAGCCCCUGGGUGGGAGGGGAUAUAACUGGAACUCUGGGAAUGUAACGUGCAUGGUGUGCUUGUCUGACGGACAGGGCAGCUUAGGGGAAUAAGUCUCUGCAGCGUUGUAGUGAAGAGAGAAUAUGGGACAACUGCAGGACCACAGCUCAGCCAAGAACAACCACAUGACUGAAGACAGAGCUCAUCUGGAUGUUUCAGAAAAUGUUGCCAAGAAACUUCAAAUGCAGAUUCCUGGACCUCAGUGCAAACUACUAUAUUAGAACUCCCUUGCAGCUGAGUUGGCCAUAUGACUGACAGCAAGCCCUGGAAUGCAGCCAGAAGUGAUAUAAGCCUCUUUCACACCAUGCUCCUAAAAUAUUCCAAGAAAUUUUCC
rnacentral:lncRNA from 1 species